rnacentral:lncRNA from 1 species
CUAUCUCCGUGCGGUUUUCUCUCUUUAAAGCAACCUGAAACCUUCAUCUUAAAAUUGAAUGGCACUUCAACAACUUUGACACUUCCUCCUGACCUGACCGCUGCCGAUCGCUGGAUUUAUGCAAUUAAUCUUAGAUCCAUCGUCUGAGUCACUUUAGGUACGUUUCUAGAAUCCCACAUGCAUAAGAGUAUAUUCUGUAGUAUGCAACGUUAUUGAGCUGGUGGAAGGUGAUGAGCUUCUACGGGGCACGCGCUUGUUCCGGUAUCGUUAUCAGUCGGGCGAUGGGGGGGUUAAGGGAAGGAUCCGCUGCUCUAUCCGCUCGUCUAUAUACAUAAAGUUAUUAAAAUUCGCGUGCGAUGAACAAGUCGGUUUAUGAAACAAUAGUGAAAAGAAACAGACAGAACAGAGACAAAACUCCUAGCUUCCAGACCUUUAUUUUGUGGCGCAAGAUGGAAAUGCGGCCACGAAUACCCUCCCUUCCAUGAUCGCUAUAAUCCGAUAAAGUUAUACGGCGAUCCCAAAAAAAAGGUCUAUGCCGCAAUACCUCUGCCUACGUUCCCUACACGACGCAUGACCCCCUCAAGUUAAGCGCAGUUAGCAGGAGUUCAUAUUAACGCUUAUAGCUAAAUUUAUUCAACAUCGCAAAACACAUCCAAAAGUAUCGAUUUUACACUAGAU